UACGAAGGGGGCUAGCGUUGUUCGGAAUCACUGGGCGUAAAGGGUGCGUAGGCGGGUCUUUAAGUCAGGGGUGAAAUCCUGGAGCUCAACUCCAGAACUGCCUUUGAUACUGAGGAUCUUGAGUUCGGGAGAGGUGAGUGGAACUGCGAGUGUAGAGGUGAAAUUCGUAGAUAUUCGGCGGAACACCAGUGGCGAAGGCGACUCACUGGCCCGAUACUGACGCUGAGGCGCGAAAGCGUGGGGAGCAAACAGG
rnacentral:rRNA from 1 species